UACACAAUAAUAACUUGAACAAAGUUCAAGUAAAUUAAAAAUGGACAAAUUUGAAAUAUAGCAUUAAUUGCAAGAACAUAAUAAAGAAAGAAAGCAAAAAAGACAUGUAGGCUGUGCAGUACAAGACCUUUCCUGUCGGGUGUAUGUCAUUCAUUAGGGGAGCAGACACGUACUGAGCCAGCUGGGGUAUUAAGAGCAGGCAUAUGUGUAGCCACCUUGGGGUUCUGGGAGUAGUUUCGUUUCAUUGCUUCUAGGCUAAGCUAGCGGGGGACGGGGGUGUUUAUAACAGUGUUCCCUGAUGCUGGAGCUCCUUAUCCAGCAUUGGCUGCAUAAAGGUGUGUUGGGUUGUAUGUCGCCUUCUUUGUCUUUGCUGUUAUGUCAGUAUUCAGUAAUUAAAGUGUGUUUCUUUUCGGCUAGUGCGCGGUACAGGCGGACGGGCACCAAUGAGACGCGUUGGGUCCUGUUAGCAGUAGCCUCUUGGAGCUGAGUUAAGCUAACGUUAGUGUGAUUGGCGACUCAGCGGUGGUGUACAUUUUAAACGUUUUAAUUUGUUUAGUGUGACUAAGUACGAUAAGAUGUGCUGCCGAGAGCACCACCUGUAUUGCUAUGGUUUCUGUUUGCUCGGCUACGGCCAGUAAUUUGAUGUUGGUUUGUGUUCUAUUAACAUUCAGCCAAGUAGCUAGCAUGGCUACUCUCGAGGGAACAAACACCAAGUGUAGCUUCUGAUUUACAUCGUCCGCCGUAUUACUGUACCAGUUUUAGAUGUAAGUACAUUUUCCUGAGCCAUGCUAACAAGUUGUUCCUGAGAAUUUGGUACGUUCUGCUUUACAUUGUUCAUAUUUGGUGAUAAGUUCACUAAGUUAGUGUAUUUGUGUGUGUUACAUGAGGUGAAUGUUAAAAAUGUUCGUAUUUUCAUAGAUUGAUACAGCUUAUACACUGUGCCAGAUGCUGUUCUAUCACAACUGUUAUAAUAGCUUUUAAAUUUUACUGGACAUGCUGUUCUAAAAUUUAAAGAGAGUAUUAAACUUCCGUCUAGCCUGUUGGCUGUAUAGUGAAGGUGUAAAUGAGUAUUUAGUGUAUUGUGAGCCACUGGCUAGAUAGGUUUGCUGUGUUUUUUUUUUUUUUUUUUUAUUUAUUUUUAUUUUCUAUGUUUACUGCAGUUCAGGUGGGAUCAAGUCAGGGGAGGUUGGGGUCUAAUGGAUAACUGAGGGUAAUUGUGCUGUAUUCACUAAAGUGGCAGACAUUUGCAGUGCAGUGUGUUUGGAAUGAUUAAAGGAUUAGUGUAUAUUGUUUGGAAUUUUUUUCAUCAAUAUCUGCUUUUAGAAUUUAUUCUCAAGUGAUACUAAUCAUAAUAUUUGGUAGUUAUAUUAUUAUUUCAUAAUGCUUGAUUAUCACCAGAGAUGCUUUGAAUCUUUUAUUAUUGUUUUUAUUUAUAUUUUUGAUACUCCUGUGAUUGUAUGACUUCAAGUACAUUAAAUAAAGGCUAUGUUUUGAAUUUUUUUAAA